ACGCCAUUCUAUAUUUUUUUCUUUCAAUUCGUUUUUGAAAACUAGGGUUUUCUUUGAUAUUUUUACCCUUUCCACAAUAAUUUCGCUCUCUUAAUCAAUGACUUUGGGGUUCAAGUUGGAUUUUUUGAUCAAAUUCUGCUAAACGAACCCUAGUAUUUGUCACGGAGAAACCCUCAACUCUUCUUGACGGAGAAACCUGCUUAUUUUACGCUUUUUUUCUUUUCUUCUUUGUUCUACCGAAGAAUAAUCUUGCUUCAGACCUGUUCUAGAAUAGACUGUUUCUUGAGUUGGUUUGAGUUUUUUUGCAUGUGAGGGAGAUUCUCUAGUCUAUGACUGUGUGGUGUUUGUUUUUCUAGUUUUUGUCUGAUGGACCUCAGAUCUGGCCUGGUUCCUUAAAGGGCUUAUGUUCUCUGACAUUACCCUCUUCGUUGAGUUUCAAGAUGGCACGUACUAAGCAAACUGCUCGU
rnacentral:misc_RNA from 1 species